rnacentral:misc_RNA from 1 species
GGAGGUCUUUGGCGGUAUCUAUUAGAGAUCGCCUCCUCUUAAAUGCAUUAGUGCGACUCGUUGUUUCGUAACCUUCGGUGUGAUAAUUAUCUACGUCGUCGGAUUCGUUACUGUUAAGAGACGUGCUUUCUAACCGUCCAUUAUUGGACAAUUUUAUGAAACUUGACCUCAAAUCAGGUGGGACUACCCGCUGAACUUAA